rnacentral:rRNA from 1 species
AACCGAGGGAUUAAGUUGUAUUAUAUGGUUAAAAGACAGUUAGACAAACCGAAAAGUUGACUCAUUGCACUAUUAGGAAGUAGAAUUCGUAUAUAGGCAAAUAUUCUUACUAAAACUAAUGUGUUGAAGCUGUGAUAACUCUGAGGGAAACUAGGAUUAGAUACCCUAUUAUUCAUAGAAAUAAAUAAGAAAAUUCUACCAGAGUACUAAGAAUAAAAAAUUUAAAACUCAAAGGGCUUGGCGGUGUUCUAGACUACUUAGGGGAACCUGUCUCGUAAUCGACAAUCCACGUAAAACCUAACCUUCUUUUGUAUACAGUUUGUAUACCGUCGUCGCCAGGUAACUUUUAAGAUAUAAACAGUUAGCUAACUAAAUACUUGAAUUAAGACGUCAGAUCAAGGUGCAGCCAACAAGAAGGCGUAGAUGGGUUACAAUUAUAUAUUUAUAACUACGGAUAGUGAUUUUAAAAAUAACUAAUAAGGAGGACUUAAAAGUAAAAUAGACUAUAUAAAUAUUUUGAAUAAAGCUCUGGAACGUGC